UGAUUGGAGUGGGUUUUCGGCACUAGGGGAUCCCCUUAUCUCUGGCAGACACAGGCUUGUCUUUCUCUUUGAAUAUCUGGGACUUGACUGAUGUCUCCAAAUGCUUGAGUGAGGGCAGAUGAAGGAGAGAAACAUGAAACAGCCCCCAGAUGUCAACUGAUUGCACAUGACAGCGCCUGGCUGUGUGAGGCGAUAAAUAUAUUCUGCCGACAUCAGGCUGAGUAGCGCCAAUGUGGACACAUAUUCAGAAAAACAACAAGCCAACGUGGUCAUUUC